rnacentral:rRNA from 1 species
CCUAGGUGGCUGCAGUGGGGAAUAUUGGACAAUGGGCGAAAGCCUGAUCCAGCCAUGCCGCGUGUGUGAAGAAGGCCUUCGGGUUGUAAAGCACUUUCAGUGGGGAAGAAAGCCUUGGGGCUAAUACCCUCGAGGAAGGACAUCACCCACAGAAGAAGCACCGGCUAACUCCGUGCCAGCAGCCGCGGUAAUACGGAGGGUGCGAGCGUUAAUCGGAAUUACUGGGCGUAAAGCGCGCGUAGGCGGUCUGAUAAGCCGGUUGUGAAAGCCCCGGGCUCAACCUGGGAACGGCAUCCGGAACUGUCAGGCUAGAGUGCAGGAGAGGAAGGUAGAAUUCCCGGUGUAGCGGUGAAAUGCGUAGAGAUCGGGAGGAAUACCAGUGGCGAAGGCGGCCUUCUGGACUGACACUGACGCUGAGGUGCGAAAGCGUGGGUAGCAAACAGGAUUAGAUACCCUGGUAGUC